rnacentral:rRNA from 1 species
UAGGGAAUCUUCCACAAUGGACGCAAGUCUGAUGGAGCAACGCCGCGUGAGUGAAGAAGGUUUUCGGAUCGUAAAACUCUGUUGUUAGAGAAGAACGUGUGUGAGAGUAACUGUUCAUGCAGUGACGGUAUCUAACCAGAAAGCCCCGGCUAACUACGUGCCAGCAGCCGCGGUAAUACGUAGGGGGCAAGCGUUAUCCGGAUUCAUUGGGCGUAAAGCGCGCGUAGGCGGCCAGCCUGGUCGGGAGUCAAAUCCGGGGGCUCAACCCCCGUCCGCUCCCGAUACCGGCCGGCUUGAGUCUGGUAGGGGAAGGCGGAAUUCCCGGUGUAGCGGUGGAAUGCGCAGAUAUCGGGAAGAACACCGGUGGCGAAGGCGGCCUUCUGGGCCACGACUGACGCUGAGGCGCGAAAGCUAGGGGAGCGAACAGGAUUAGAUACCCUGGUAGUCCUAGCCGUAAACGAUGGGCACUAGGUAUGGGGGGAUCGUCCCUCCGUGCCGCAGCCAACGCAUUAAGUGCCCCGCCUGGGGAGUACGGCCGCAAGGCUA